UUUUUUUUGGCUUCUGUAAUUCCUUGCUCAAGAUGCAGUUUCAUAUUAAUUUGGUAGCUUUUACACAAGAUUUGCCAAUAUUGUGGUUUCCAUUCAUCUUAACAUAUUUAAAAAGAUUGCGCAAUGAAGAAAUGGGAAAAGGAAAUUGACUUUUAACAUGCAUAGUGAUUUUGGAUACCUAGUUAAGACUUCUGUAAAAUGACCCCAUGCCGACGGGUUGAAGGGAUUGAUGACGAGUUCACAUGGGCAUCAUUUUACUAGGUGUGGUUUUCUCAGGUAUUUCCAGGUGUGAAGAAAACCACUGGCUAGAACUAGCAUUUUUCGGCUUUUACACGCAUUGUUUAAUUUCCUGCUUCCUUGGUUUCUCUUUACUUCUUCCAGGUCUCCCUCAUUGAAGGCUUUGCGUUUGCAUGAUGAUCUACUUUUCAAAAAAUCAACUAUUAUUCCAAAACUGAUAAGCAAGUGGAAAAAUCUGGAGAUGUUGUCACUGGGGAGCAGACAUAACAUGGAGGAAAUCCUAGCCCAAAUCAGUCUUCACUGCAACAACUUCAUUAUGCUAUUUGCUCCACAAAUAUAUGUUGGGAAAGAUGAAGCGACAGCUAUAGUCACCUCAUUGCCAAACCUCAAGUACUUGGUUCUAAAGGGAUCAACAAUUGAGUGGGAAAAUCUAGUGAUGGUAUUGCAGGGCUGCAAAAAGCUCCUACGUUUGGACGUCAGGAAAUGCAUUGGAUUUGAGAAGAAUGAUGCUGAGAUAUUGGCACUUGCUUCCCAUAUUCCUACAUUCAUGUGUAAAGGUUCCAUCUUAUAUGAUUAUGAUGACGAACCCUUGACAUAUAAGGAUGCUGAUUUCGCUCCUGAUGACCAUUAUGUUUGAGAGUUUGCGAGUUGAGUUUGUUAUCCUAAAGACUCGAUGAGAAAUUCCCUUCUGUGUGCCUCUAUGUAAUAUGAGUUGAAUAGUUCAUGAGAAUAAUUGAUCCAUUCCCGUGAACAUUAGAUACGUAAAGAAGUUGUAUUGGCAAUUCCAUUCCAGUUGUUUACCUGGUAUCUUGAAACAAAAGAUCAAUUAUUGACCAAUCUUUCUUGGAUCUCCUUGGCAUUGAGGAUCCAGGCCAAGUUUUCAUGAGGGCUGCACGACUCUAGAAAAUGCAAUGUGGCUGCAACUACGGAUUAUAUAUUGCACAUCUUUAAUGAUUAUGAAUGGUUUGGGGAAGUUCAAGCCACACUGUUCUCAGGGACUGAUAAAUCCAUGCUUAAAGUGAUCGACUAAGAGCACCAACUAGAAUUAGGUGAUUGAUCGGCUAGUUACCUGAUUCAAAGUGAAUCUAUCAUCCUAUUUCAAGUGUCAUGGUGCAAGUUGUUGGAAUAUCUGAAAAAUUAUAUUCCAAGGCUUGGAUCGAUAGUGCACAUGCAUCUACAAUCCUAGGGAUGCUAGAUCUAAGACAAUAGAAGCAUUUAAAACAUGUAUGGUAGCUUAGAUCUAGGGCCCAAAAAUUUUACUUUUGAUUUUUAUGUUCUCUUAUCGAAUCUUGUUGCUAAAGUGGAUCUCGAAGACUUCUCGAUCUUUAAUCUUAUUAUUGUCUUUUGGUCCGUAGCAUUAAAAAAGAGCAAUCUUCUCUCUUCUUAGAGUAACUGGACAUUAGGGCUCUCUCUCUUAGAUAAUGAAUAAAAGUGUCUAAUCCUAAAUUCUUAAGGGGUUUUAUAAAAAUCUUUUUUGUGGACAUAAGUGACUUAGACCCAUAGCAGACUCGGGUUAUUUAAUCUAGUCCAUUGAGUUUUAAUUAAUUAAUUAAUAAGCCUCGAUGUACCGAUAUUUUGCUGAUUUUUUUUUUUUGGAGCCACAUCAGCCCCUUUGUGCCCAACAUUUUUCCGAAAGAAGAAAGGAUUUAAUGCAGAAAAAUGAGUUUGAAGCAACGAAAGUAGCAAGCCUAACCAGAUUCUGACAUAUUUUUCCAUUGGAGGCAUAUGUUUCAGAAUUUACCAUUUUCUUGCUAUAAGGGUAUCUGGUGUUGAAGAUGUUUGAACCGAUAAUAUAUGAUAUGGAGAUCUUGACUACUUGGUUUUUACACCAAAUUAUUAAUUUUUCCUCGAUUUAUUGAUAUUUUUGUAAUUUUUACAAAGAAGAAGAAUUUAAUACGUAAUAAUGGGUCUGAAGCAAAUCAAACCAAGAAGCCCAGCUUAAUUCUUACCAUUUUUUUUCAUUAGAGACACAUGAUUUAAAUUGUUCAUUUUCUUUCUAUAAGUUUUGAAAAUAUUAGGGGACUAUAAAAAAAUAGAAAAAAAAUGCUAGAUAAUUAAGAAAAAUGAGAGGAGUUCUCACUAUUGGCUUUCCAAUUGCUAUUAAUCUUGUUUUCUUGGUCUAAAGAUUCCAUCAUGUUACUUGUUUUUUUAUAUUGAUGAUCAGAUUGGAGCCUUUAACUUUUAGGCUAUGUUUGAUUCCAAAAAAUACUAAGGAAAGCUUGGUUUCACUAUAGAAAAUAUAAAAGAAAUUCAAUUAUAAUUAACAUUGAUAUAUCUUUAAAUUAUUUAAUCUUAUUAUAAUAGAGAAAGAUAAGUAAAAUGAUUUUGAAGAAAUAUAUAAAAAUAAUUUAUUAAAUUUAAAAUUAAUUUUUAUUUUCCUUCAUUAUUUCUUUCCUUCUAUUUUUCUUUUCUAUUUUCUUUCAUUCGCAUUUUCCCUCAAAUUUUUUAGGAACCAAGCAUAGCCUUAGGAAAAAAAAAUAAUCAUAUUAUUUUAAUUGUUUUAUGUGAAUGUUUUAAAUUAAAAUCACAUCUUUUAUCAAUUUUUGUAAAAAAUAAAAAUAAAAAUUAUAUGACAUUUUAUUGGAAAGCUUAUGAGAGGAAUUUUUUAUAUCCCUUUUAAAUAUAUUUGAGAAGGGACCAACUUGUCAUUAAAGUUGUUUCACUUUUUUUAAAAAUAGAACUAAAUAAAGUCUGGAUUAAUAAUAAUAAAUAUAAAUCCAAAAUAAAAAAUAAAAAAUCAAAAAGUACAAUUCAAAAACGCUUUUUCACUAUUAGCAAGACCUAGAUCUCCUUUCAUCCUCUCUCUUUUGUAUUUUUACUUCUUACUCUUCCUUUUUCUUUUUCUCCCUUCUUUGUUCUUUAACCAAUCUCUAAAGGGAGCUUUAUCACUAGGGAGAGUUUUAUCUUUAUAGAAAAGGAGGAGAAAUCAAUCUCUCUUUAGUCCUUUGUCAUGAAGUCAGUACAGUAGAAAGAAUAUGGGUGCUUUAUUUAUAAUCUUUUUAAUCAUUUUCCUUCUUUUCUUUUUUCAUUCUUUUCUCUUCAACCAAUCUGGCAAGGAAGCUUAGCCACUAAGGAGAGAUUCACCUUUCUAAGUUUUAAUAGUGUGUAUCUGGGUGGAUGGAAGGAGAAAUCAUUUUAAUUAUAGAGCUCUCUCCUUUAGUCUUUGGUGAAGUCAGCAAAGCAUGUAGAAUAUUUGUUCUCUAUAAAUUAGGAAGAAAACUCUCACAGAUUUCAUCACUUUUACUCUCUCUCUCUCUCAAUUCUCAAACCAGUUUCAUAUACACUGAUAGAUCUCACCACUAUUUUUCUGCAUCAGUUUCUUAUCAGCUUCAGGUAAAUCCAUUUUUAUUCACUUCUUUCUUAAAUGUUGAAUUGUAGUUGAUAUUUACAUAAGAGCCAUGAUGGUCAAUUUUUUAGUGUUGAGUUAGCUAUAGAUGAGGUUCAAGCAUCAAUGCACCAACCUCAUCAUCUUUAAAGAUGGUAAAAGAGAAAUACAAUUUUUGAAGUAAAUUGAUUAAAACAAAAAGAAAAUGCCAUGCAGAAUUGGGUUGGAUAGGAGUGGUGGCUUUUUUACUUUUUAUUUUUUAAAUGCAAUAACCACUAGCAUGUUCUAUGUCUGGUUUAUUCAUGGUUGCAUCAAAUUAAAUCAAUCACCUUUGUUCUUGCUUUUACCUUUUUUUCUUUCUUUUUCCAACUUUUUUCGGUCCCUUCUUUGUCCUCCAGCCAAUCUCACCUGAGAGCUAAAGCACAAAGGAAAGAUCGCACUGUCUAAAAUCCUUGGAGCACAUGGUGGCAGUCUCAGCAGACGCCCAUGUCCUCAUUAAAUUCAUCAAUUACUUAGGCACUAAGUUAAAGAAAGAAUUAGAGAAAUUUAGGACCAACUUUAAGAAUUUUAAUUUAUUUCUUUAUAUGAUUGUCAAAUUCAUUUAUAAAUUAAUUAAACAAUUCUAGAAAAAUGUUAAUUAACUUUUAAUAAAAAAACCUCUUUACUUUAUGCACUUCAAUCAUCUCGAUUUCAUUUUUUUUAUAAUUAUAAUUUUAUUAUUUUACAUUUUAUAUGUGAUCUUAAAACAUGAAUGUGAUGAAAAACUAUUAUGUUAUGUUUGAUUCCUAAAAAGUAUUAAAAAAAAAUAAAAAUGUUAGCGAAAAAUGAUUUUUUCAUGAUUGAUUUCAAUAUAAAAAAUAAGAAACAAAAUCAAAUAUAAUUAAAAUUAAUUACGAAUUUAUAGAUUUUUAAAUUAUUAAUCUUUAUAUAUAAAAGAAAAAAAAAAGUGAAAUGAGUUUGAAGUAGCAUAUAAAAAUAAUUUAUUAAUUUUAAAUCUAAUUUUUAUGUCCUUUACAUUUAUUUUUUCUUACAUUUUCCUUCAUAUUUUUCGAGAACUAGACAUAACCUUAAAAGUUUGAAUUGUGGUUGAAUGGAAAGAACAUUCCUUUUAUUUUAUUUGUUGAGCUAUCCCUAUAUAUUCAGUUUCUAGUCAAAUCAGCAAAGAAAACUGAUUCUAUAUCAUCUUUACCCUCUCUCAAUUAUUUCUCAGGCCCUUUCUUCUCAUUACUCUUGCUGUUUCAAUUUCUCAUCAGCUUCAGGUAAAUCCAUUGUAUUACGCUUCUUUUCCAUUUCUCUCAUAUUUCUAACAGAAGAGACAGAUGCAGAUCAUUUGGGUUACGAUAGUGUAGCUGAUAAAAUCCAGUCAAAGAACGACGAGUGUAAAUUUUGUGUUGGAGAUUAUAUAUGCUGCUAGCUUGAGUAACCUUCCAAUGCCUUCGAAUUACUACAUUGGAGAGACUUCAUCCAAGCAUUCAAAUAAUGAUUCUGAAAUUGACCAUAGCAAGGUACUGGUAAAUGCCAUUAGUAUUUUUCAUUCCAUCAAGAAUGACGUUAACUUUUUGCCUGCAAUUCUUUCUGGAGGGAAAAUGAUCCUAAUUCCUCCUAAGUUUUAGGCUGUUAGACCCAAACUAAUCAUAUCAGCCUUGUAAUAAUCUGGAGCCCAGGCACAUUAAUGUCUUCCAUGAAUGCCUAGGGAAAAUUCAGAGGAUGGGGAAGAUCAGUUUGUGUCAAGAAUAUAAUAGAUCGAUUAAUUAGUAGUAAUCAGAAUAUCAGUUUUGAUUCCAAGAUAAAUACAGUAACACUGGUAUUUUUUUUCAUUUGCUUAGAUGGAGGGACGAAAGUGGGAGGAGCUAAACAUGGACUGUUUGGUAAAUGUGUUUCGAAGUGUGGGAAUGGAGUCAUUGCUCUUGGAUGUUCCCUUUGUAUGCAAGUCAUGGUACAAAGCAAGCCUUGAUCCUAAGUGCUGGGAGUGUCUCAUUUUUCCAAAAUACAUCAAACCUGAUCGUAUAUGGGACAACAGCCCCUUGGGAGAAAGGUUGAUGAUGGAAUAUCAAGAAAGUUUCUGUGUCACUGCAUUCAUAAAGUCUGUGGUUGCCCGUAGCCAGAGACGCGCUACUGUACUUACGCUCCCCAUCUGCUGCACCGAAGAGGCAUUGGAGUAUGCUGCUAACGAGUAAGCCACCUUAAUUUAUCUAUCAAAUUAGUUCACUUUGGAAAAAUUCUAGUUUCUGCUGAGUUUUUUUUUUUUUUUUUUUUUUGGCUUCUGUAAUUCCUUGCUCAAGAUGCAGUUUCAUAUUAAUUUGGUAGCUUUUACACAAGAUUUGCCAAUAUUGUGGUUUCCAUUCAUCUUAACAUAUUUAAAAAGAUUGCGCAAUGAAGAAAUGGGAAAAGGAAAUUAACUUUUAACAUGCAUAGUGAUUUUGGAUACCUAGUUAAGACUUCUGUAAAAUGACCCCAUGCCGACGGGUUGAAGGGAUUGAUGACGAGUUCACAUGGGCAUCAUUUUACUAGGUGUGGUUUUCUCAGGUAUUUCCAGGUGUGAAGAAAACCACUGGCUAGAACUAGCAUUUUUCGGCUUUUACACGCAUUGUUUAAUUUCCUGCUUCCUUGGUUUCUCUUUACUUCUUCCAGGUCUCCCUCAUUGAAGGAUUUGCGUUUGCAUGGUGAUCUACUUUUCAAAAAAUCAACUAUUAUUCCAAAACUGAUAAGCAAGUGGAAAAAUCUGGAGAUGAUGUCACUGGGGAGCAGACAUAACAUGGAGGAAAUCCUAGUCCAAAUCAGUCUUCACUGCAACAACUUCAUUAUGCUAUUUGCUCCACACAUAUAUGUUGGGAAAGAUGAAGCGACAGCUAUAGUCACCUCAUUGCCAAACCUUAAGUACUUGGUUCUAAAGGGAUCAACAAUUGAGUGGGAAAAUCUAGUGAUGGUAUUGCAGGGCUGCAAAAAGCUCCUAGGUUUGGACGUCAGGAAAUGCAUUGGAUUUGAGGAGGAUGAUGCUGAGAUAUUGGCACUUGCUUCCCAUAUUCCUACAUUCAUGUGUGAAGGUUCUAUCUAUGAGGAAUAUGACACAUAUCUUGAUCUUGAUGGUGAUGUCGAUACUGAUUACUAUUCUGGUUAAGAGUUUAUGAGUUGAGUUUGUUAACCUAAAGCCUCUAUGAGAAGUUCCCUUCUGUAUGCCUCUAUGUGAUGAGUUGAAUUAUUCAUGACAAUAAUUGAUCCAUUCCCAUGGACAUUAUAUAUGUAAAAAAGUUGUAUUGGCAAUUCCAUUCCAGUUGUUUACCUGGUAUCUUGAAACAAAAGAUCAAUUAUUGACCAAUCUUUCUUGGAUCUCCUUGGCAUUGAGGAUCCAGACCAAGUUUUCAUGAGGGGUGCACGACUAAAGAAAAUGCGAUGUGGCUGCAACUACGGAUUAUAUUUUGCACAUCUUUAAUGAUUAUGAAUGGUUUGGGGAAGUUCAAGCCACACUGUUCUCAGGGACUGAUAAAUCCAGCUUAAAGUGAUCGACUAAGAGCACCAACUAGAAUUAGGUGAUUGAUCGGCUAGUUAUCUGAUUCAAAGUGAAUCUAUCAUCCUAUUUCAAGUGUUGAAGGGGGUAUCUGGUGUUGAAGACGUUCGAUACGAUAAUGAUAUGGAUAUCUUGACUACUUGGUUUUCACACCAAAUUAUUAAAUUUUCCUCGAUUUAUUGAUAUUUUUGUAAUUUAUUUUUGUAAUUUUUACAAAGAAGAAGAAUUUAAUACGUAAUAAUGGGUCUGAGGCAAAUCAAACCAAGAAGCCCAGCUUAAUUCUUACCAUUUUUUUUCAUUAGAGACGCAUGUUUUAAAUUGUUCAUUUUCUUUCCAUAAGUUUUGAAAAUAUUAGGGGACUAUAAAAAAAUAGAAAAAAAAAUGCUAGAUAAUUAAGAAAAAUGAGAGGAGUUCUCACUAUUGGCUUUCCAAUUGCUAUUAAUCUUGUUUUCUUGGUCUAAAGAUUCCAUUAUGUUACUUGUUUUUUUAUAUUGAUGAUCAGAUUGGAGUUUAGGCUAUGUUUGAUUCCAGAAAAUACUAAGGAAAGCUUGGUUUCACUAUAGAAAAUAUAAAAGAAAUUCAAUUAUAAUUAAAAUUGAUAUAUCUUUAAAUUAUUUAAUCUUACUAUAAUAGAGAAAGAUAAGUAAAAUGAUUUUGAAGAAAUAUAUAAAAAUAAUUUAUUAAAUUUAAACUCAUUUUUUAUUUUUUUUCUAUUUUUUUUUCUAUUUUAUUUCCUUCACAUUUUUCCUCAAAUUUUUCAGGAACCAAGCAUAGCCUUAGGAAAAAAAAAUAAUCAUAUGAUUUUAAUUGUUUUAUGUGAAUGUUUUAAAUUAAAAUCACAUCUUUUAUCCACUUUUGUAAAAAAUAAAAAUAAAAAUUAUAUGACAUUUUAUUGGAAAGCUUAUGAGAGGAAUUUUUUAUAUCCCUUUUAAAUAUAUUUGAGAAGGGAUCAACUUGUCAUUAAAGUUGUUUCACUUUUUUGAAAAAUAGAACUAAAUAAAGUCUGCAUUAAUAAUAAUAAAUAUAAAUCCAAAAAAAAAAAAAAUCAAAAAGUAUAAUUCAAAAGCGCUUUUUCACAAUUAGCAAGACCUAGAUCUCCUUUCAUCCUCUCUCUUUUGUAUUUUUACUUCUUACUCUUCCUUUUUCUUUUUCUCCCUUCUUUGUUCUUUAACCAAUCUCUAAAGGGAGCUUUAUCACUAGGGAGAGUUUUAUCUUUAUAGAAAAGGAGGAGAAAUCAAUCUCUCUUUAGUCCUUUGUCAUGAAGUCAGUACAGUAGAAAGAAUAUGGGUGCUUUAUUUAUAAUCUUUUUAAUCUUUUUCCUUCUUUUCUUUUUUCAUUCUUUGCUCUUCAACCAAUCUGGCAAGGAAGCUUAGCCACUAAGGAGAGAUUUACCUUUCUAAGUUUUAAUAGUGUAUCUGGGUGGAUGGAAGGAGAAAUCAUUUUAAUUAUAGAGCUCUCUCUCCUUUAGUCUUUGGUGAAGUCAGCAAAACAUGUAGAAUAUUGGGAAAGUUGUGUUUCGGGAGGCCCAUUUGAAGGUAAUAUUGUUUUCAAAACCCAAGUUUGCAUUACCCAAGAUAUGUCCACUAUUUGGAGAAAAUUUUUCCUUUUCAUGCACUCUGGUCUUAGGUGUUAUUUCAUACCGAAAAUGGGCCUUACCCUUGGGCCAGCUCAGCGUCCACAUCAGGAACCUAAAAAGCCCAAACUCCAUGUCAGCAGCCAAGACAUAAUUUAGUAAAGAUUCAUAUGUGAAUUGGAAAAAAAGUGAAAGUUGAAAGACGAUCACAAAAAAGAUCCGAACCCGGCUGAGCUUUCAUUGAUUUUCAAGGGCAUGAGGUAUGUGGGUCAUCGUGAAUCAUGUUUUUCUUCGGUGGGUAUGGAUUAUUUUCAAAGUGUUUUAUGAUCUUCUUGCUCUUAUCAUGGGUUACUUUGGAAACUUGAAUGAUAAUGGUGUUGGUUUACAAUAUUUCCGAAAUUGCCGAAUGAUAGUUUGAUUGCAUUCUUGUGGGGUUUUUCUAUUUGUUUAUUUUUUCUUUUAUUAAUUGUGUUGCAAUUUGUGGUUUCGAUGUUGCCAAUUUUUUCUUCUUGUGGUAGGAUCCCAAUUCGAAGCAUUUAGGAACUACGGUUUAGGAUGCAUCAAUGGUAUUUUGUGAAAUUUCUGGUAAUGUCUAUUAUUCAUUUGAGAAUUUUAGCAUUAUUUUCAUCCAUGGGUUAUCAAUUCAAAAUUGUUGAUUUGUUGAGUUGUGUUCAAUUUCUAUGCAAUCCGGGUCUUGAGGGCGAGGGCAGGGUUUCCACCUCUUGGUUUUGUAGGGGGCUCAACCUUUUAAGUCCUGUUUUAAUUGCCUUUAAGCCACUAAUCAGGAUUUAGUUGCUUAUUCCCAAUGAAGGGAAGAACUAGAGUCUUAAGAGAAAGUUGCUAAAAUCAACUGUUACCUUUCCUGAGAGAAAGAGUUGUUUAAAGCUGUUUUCUCAAGUUGAGAGUUGCCCAAAGUAGUGCCCUUCCUCUCCUAUGCAUGAGAGUAUCAUAGCGAUAAGAGAAAUUCUUGGUGUUGUUACUGAUUUGCUUAUCAUAAUAGCAGUUUUUGGAUGCAAUCCCCUUUCUUUUGAUCUCUUUUCUCCGAUUUUAUCUUAGUUUUAGAUCUCAGUUUGAGUGUUACCAAGGAGUCGUACCCUACAGCUCCCAACUCUUAGUAAUUGGGAUAAGUCCUUACUAUGGUGUAUUCUAUAAUGGAACAUUGCAAUAAUGAAAUUGCAUAGAUGGAUUCAGGCCUCAUUGUGCACAAUUUGUAUUUUUUUUUGCACCAAAGCACUUUAAACCAAAAGAAAUUUGGGACUGUACCUUAGGUACUACCUUAAGAGCCCUUAGGUACUACCUUAAUGGUCCUAAGGUGCUACCUUAAGGGACCCUAGGUACUACCUUAGCUAAACUUUAACUCUACCUCUCCCAAGCCUUGAGCCUUCCUUUGUGACCCUUACACCAUGUCAUUAUGUGCUUCUCUUGUGUGCUCAAGUGGUCCACCAAUGGUUUUUUGGUACUGUUCCUUAGGUACUACCUUAAUGGCCUUUAGGUACUACCUUAGUGGCCUUUAGGUACUACCUUAGUGGCCUUCAGGUACUACCUUAGCUAAACUUGAACUCAACCUCUCCUAAGCCUCGGGUCUUCCUUUAUGACCCUUUGACCAUGCCAUUAUGUGCUUCUCUUGAGUACUCAAGUGGUCCAACAAUGGUUUUUUGGUACUGUACCUUAGGUACUACCUUAAUGGCCUUUAGGUACUACCUUAGUGGCCUUCAGGUACUACCUUAAGGGACCCUAGGUACUACCUUAGUUAAACUUCAACUCAACUUCUCCCAAGCCUCGGGUCUUCCUUUGUGACCCUUAGACCAUGCCAUUAUGUGCUUCUUUUGAGUGCUCAUGUGGUCCACCAAUGGUUUUUUGGUACUGUACCUUAGGUACUACCUUAAUGGCCUUUAGGUACUACCUUAGUGGCCUUCAGGUACUACCUUAAGGGACCCUAGGUACUACCUUAGCUAAACUUGAACUCAACCUCUCCCAAGCCUCGGGUCUUUCUUUGUGACCCUUAAACCAUGCCACUAUGUGCUUCUCUUGAGUGCUCAUGUGGUCCACCAAUGGUUUUUUGGUACUGUACUUUAGGUACUACCUUAAUGGCCUUUAGGUACUACCUUAGUGGCCUUCAGGUACUACCUUAAGGGACCCUAGGUACUACCUUAGCUAAACUUCAACUCAACUUCUCCCAAGCCUCGGGUCUUCCUUUGUGACCCUUAGACCAUGCCAUUAUGUGCUUCUUUUGAGUGCUCAUGUGGUCCACCAAUGGUUUUUUGGUACUGAACCUUAGGUACUACCUUAAGGGACCCUAGGUACUACCUUANNNNNNNNNNNNNNNNNNNNNNNNNNNNNNNNNNNNNNNNNNNNNNNNNNNNNNNNNNNNNNNNNNNNNNNNNNNNNNNNNNNNNNNNNNNNNNNNNNNNAAACUUGAACUCAACCUCUCCCAAGCCUUGGGUCUUUCUUUGUGACCCUUAAACCAUGCCAUUAUGUGCUUCUCUUGAGUGCUCAUGUGGUCCACCAAUGGUUUUUUGGUACUGUACUUUAGGUACUACCUUAAUGGCCUUUAGGUACUACCUUAGUGGCCUUCAGGUACUACCUUAAGGGACCCUAGGUACUACCUUAGCUAAACUUCAACUCAACUUCUCCCAAGCCUCGGGUCUUCCUUUGUGACCCUUAGACCAUGCCAUUAUGUGCUUCUUUUGAGUGCUCAUGUGGUCCACCAAUGGUUUUUUGGUACUGUAGUGGCCUUAGGUACUACCUUAAGGGACCCUAGGUACUACCUUAGCUAAACCUCAACUCAACCUCUCCCAAGCCUCGGGUCUUCCUUGGUGACCCUUAGACCAUGCCAUUAUGUGCUUCUUUUGAGUGCUCAUGUGGUCCACCAAUGGUUUUUUGGGAUUGUACCUUAGGUACUACCUUAAUGGCCUUUAGGUACUACCUUAGUGGCCUUCAGGUACUACCUUAAGGGACCCUAGGUACUACCUUAGCUAAACUUGAACUCAACCUCUCCCAAGCCUCGAGUCUUCCUUUGUGACCCUUAGACCAUGCCAUUAUGUGCUUCUCUUGAGUGCUCAAGUGGUCCACCAAUGGUUUUUUGGUACUGUACCUUAGGUACUACCUUAAUAGCCUUUAGGUACUACCUUAGUGGCCUUCGGGUACUACCUUAAGGGACCCUAGGUACUACCUUCGCUAAACCUCAACUCAACCUCUCCCAAGCCUCGGGUCUUCCUUUGUGACCCUUAGACCAUGCCAUUAUGUGCUUCUCUUGAGUGCUCAUGUGGUCCAUGAUUACCACUCAAAAAGUGCGGGUUGAUAGCCUUUAAUUAAUCCUUUUUAACACUUUUGAGUAGUAGUUUAGGCCUUUUAACUCAAUUGGCAUGUUAAGGAUCCUUUAAAGCAAUUUUGAUCACUUUGUGCAAGUUUUGGUGUUUUUGUUAGUAUUUUGAUCACCAAAGCAAGUCAAGAAUGAGGAGAGCUAUGAGGAAUCUUGGGCAAAGCUUAGAAUUCAAUUGCCAAGAGUGAAUCCGGAUUGCAAAGGAGAAAAAGCAAAGAUAAUCUGCCAUAAAUCCUAUUCUUGAUGACAGUCGUAGCAGCCACUUUUGGAGCACUUUCUGAAUUCAAAUGAUGCAAGCUAUAUACCAUUUCAAGCUCGGGAAGUCAAAAUNNNNNNNNNNNNNNNNNNNNNNNNNNNNNNNNNNNNNNNNNNNNNNNNNNNNNNNNNNNNNNNNNNNNNNNNNNNNNNNNNNNNNNNNNNNNNNNNNNNNAAGGAUCCUUUAAAGCAAUUUUGAUCACUUUGUGCAAGUUUUGGUGUUUUUGUUAGUAUUUUGAUCACCAAAGCAAGUCAAGAAUGAGGAGAGCUAUGAGGAAUCUUGGGCAAAGCUUAGAAUUCAAUUGCCAAGAGUGAAUCCGGAUUGCAAGGAGAAAAAGCAAAGAUAAUCUGCCAUAAAUCCUAUUCUUGAUGACAGUCGUAGCAGCCACUUUUGGAGCACUUUCUGAAAUUCAAAUGAUGCAAGCUAUAUACCAUUUCAAAGCUCGGGAAGUCAAAAAUCCAAUGCUUUAAACGGUGCGCGAUUCGGAGUUGAAACGAAGAAGUUGCAGCCAUUACAAGCCAGUCACUCUAAAGUGUUGCGGAAUCAGCCUUUUGUUGCGAGAAUUUCGCAGCACUUUUGUACAGUAAGGUGUUUCUCCUUCUGACGAUGCACGAACCAUGCCGCGAGAGGGAAGCUAGGAACUUCAAGAUGGAAGCCAAAUUUGCAGCCUGGUGAAGAUAGCUCGGUCUUGCGAAAUAAUUUCGCAGCCCUCUUGGGUGUCUGCGAAAUUUCGCAGACCUCAUUUUUUACCUGCGAAAUGGCUCCUGAAGCCUCCCGAAGCUUGCUACCGACAUUGGGAGAUAUUUUCCAUUAGAUUUUUGUUGUCUAAAUCCCAAAAUACUCCUUGUAAACCACCAAUUACAUGAUUCCUUAGUUUUUAAGUUAGUAAAAAGACCAAAUAUCUUGGUAACAAUUAGUUUUAUAUUGUUUUGAUAUAUAUACCUCUCGGGAGCCUGUUCUCAGAGAGGAGUUCCUUCUGUAACCUUUUGGUAAGCAAGUAAAGACUUUUCUUUCUACUGUCUUACCUUCUCACUUUGUAUUUUCAUUUUAUUUCUAAGUUAUGAAUUCUCUGAGGAGUUUUCCCCAGAGAAUGAGUAACUAAACCUCCAAUUCCUUGGAGCUAAGGUUGCCGGGGAAGGUUCCAAGUGCAAGAAUGCAAAGCUUUGUGGUUUUAGCUAGUAAUGAAGAGGAAGUGAAAUCCUUUAGUGAUUUCAAUGUUUUUAGUUAACUUAAAACACCUUGGAGUCACCUGGGCCAACACUUGGUAAGGCAAGUGAUUUCCAACCAUGGAAAUGCACUAGUUUACCCCUUGCGAGCCUCUGGUAGGUGACUUCAAGGUAGGAUUUUCUGGAAUUACCAACACUUGGUAAGCUUUCGGAUUCCUAGAAGACAUCCAUUAGUUAUCUCUUGCGAGUUUGUGAAGGGAAGUCCAAGGUUAAAGAUCACCUUGAAUGGUAAGUGCUCGUGAGAGGCAUGAACCAUUGCAAGUUGCAUCAGUGAGAGAAUUAAAGUGAAAUCUAAUUGAAGGAGUCUCUGUACAUCACCGGUUAGAGAAUUGACUAUAAGUUGAAUCUCUAAUGCGAGGAAAUGAACCAUUUGACCGGAGCUAUGUCUUUUGCAUGAGGAACCACCCUAGUGAANNNNNNNNNNNNNNNNNNNNNNNNNNNNNNNNNNNNNNNNNNNNNNNNNNNNNNNNNNNNNNNNNNNNNNNNNNNNNNNNNNNNNNNNNNNNNNNNNNNNGUAUGAGUGCACCAUCAUGUAUAGUGCCCCCUACAGAGCAGCUAGUGAUCAGACCAUAUCUUGUUCCACUUCUACCAACUUUCCAUGGGAUGGAAAGUGAGAAUCCGUAUGCACACAUCAAGGAAUUUGAAGAUGUUUGUAACACAUUCCAAGAGGGAGGAGCUUCAAUUGAUUUGAUGAGGCUUAAGUUAUUUCCUUUUACUUUAAAGGAUAAGGCCAAAAUAUGGCUUAAUUCUUUAAGGCCAAGGAGUAUCCGCUCUUGGACUGAUUUACAAGCUGAAUUCCUUAAGAAAUUUUUUCCUACUCAUAGAAGAAAUGGCUUGAAAAGGCAAAUUUCAAAUUUCUCAGCUAAAGAGAAUGAGAAAUUCUAUGAGUGUUGGGAAAGAUACAUGGAAGCUAUAAAUGCUUGUCCUCACCAUGGCUUUGAUACUUGGCUAUUGGUGAGCUAUUUUUAUGAUGGUAUGUCCUCCUCAAUGAAGCAACUCCUCGAGACAAUGUGUGGAGGAGAUUUCAUGAGCAAAAAUCCAGAGGAAGCUAUGGAUUUCUUGAGCUAUGUAGCUGAUGUUUCAAGGGGAUGGGAUGAACCAACCAAAGGAGAAGUGGGAAAGAUGAAGUCUCAGUUGAAUGCUUACAAUGCAAAGGCUGGGAUGUAUAAUUUGAAAGAAGAUGAUGACAUGAAGGCAAAGUUGGCAGCUAUAACAAGAAGAUUGGAGGAGCUGGAGCUGAAAAGAAUACAUGAAGUGCAAGCUGUUGCUGAAGCACCAGUGCAAGUGAAGUUGUGUCCCAAUUGUCAAUCAUUUGAACAUUUGGUGGAGGAGUGCCCUGCAAUUUCAGUUGAAAGGGAAAUGUAUAGAGAUCAAGCAAAUGUUGUUGGACAAUUCAGGCCCAAUAACAAUGCUCCAUAUGGAAAUACCUACAAUUCAAGUUGGAGGAAUCAUCCAAAUUUCUCAUGGAAGGCCAGAGCAACUCAAUACCAACAGCCGGAUCCACCAUCUCAGCAAUCUUCAAGUAUUGAACAAAUAAUAGCCAAUCUCAGCAAGGUAGUGGGAGAUUUUGUGGGAAAGCAAGAAGCCACCAAUGCUCGAGUUGAUCAAAGAAUGGACAGAAUAGAGAGUGUGUUGAACAAAAGAAUGGAUGGAAUGCAAAAUGAUAUGAACCAAAAGUUUGAUAACAUCCAAUAUUCAAUUUCAAGGCUUACAAAUUUGAAUACACUGCAAGAAAAAUGAAGAUUUCCCUCUCAACCUAACCAAAAUCCCAAAGGUGUCCAUGAAGUGGAAAGCCAUGAGGGAGAAUCAUCACAGGUGAAAGAUGUGAAAGCUUUGAUCACUCUAAGGAGUGGUAAAAAAAUUGAGCAGCCAACACCCAAGCCACAUGUUGAGAAAGAAGAAGAGAUAAAGAAAGGGAAGGAAAUGGAAGAUAAAGGUAGUGAGAUCAGUGAAGAAAAGAAGGACUCUGAUGCAACAAUCAAAGCAAUUCCAGAGAAGGAGCUUCUGAAGGAAGAAAUGCUGAAGAAAUCACCUUUUCCACCUUUUCCUCAAGCAUUACAGGGGAAAAGGGGGGUUAGAAAUGCAGCUGAAAUCCUAGAAGUAUUGAGACAAGUGAAAGUUAAUAUUCCACUGCUGGAUAUGAUCAAACAAGUUCCAACGUAUGCAAAAUUCCUAAAGGACUUGUGUACUAUCAAAAGAGGGUUGACUGUAAACAAGAAAGCCUUCUUGACUGAGCAAGUAAGUGCAAUCUUACAAUGUAAGUCUCCUUUGAAGUACAAAGACCCUGGAAGUCCUACCAUUUCAGUCAUGAUUGGAGGAAAGGUAGUGGAGAAAGCCUUGCUAGACUUGGGAGCAAGUGUGAAUUUGCUUCCAUACUCUGUCUACAAGCAAUUGGGACUUGGAGAGUUAAAGCCAACAGCAAUCACUUUAUCUUUGGCAGAUAGAUCAGUGAAAAUUCCAAGAGGGGUAAUUGAGGAUGUAUUGGUUCAAGUGGAUAAUUUCUACUAUCCUGUAGAUUUUGUUGUUCUUGAUACAGAUCCUACUAUAAAGGAAGCUAAUUUAGUUCCUAUCAUCCUUGGAAGGCCAUUUCUUGCAACUUCAAAUGCAAUCAUCAAUUGUAGAAAUGGGCUGAUGCAACUCACUUUUGGUAAUAUGACACUGGAUCUAAAUAUUUUCUACAUGUCUAAAAAGCAAAUCACUCCUGAGGAAGAAGAAGGUCCAGAAGAGCUAUGUAUAAUUGAUACUUUGGUGGAGGAGCACUGCAAUCAACAUAUGCAAGACAAGUUGAAUGAAAGUCUUGUGGAUAUUGAGGAAGGUUUUUCUGAAUCUCCUAUUGGGCUUGCUACUCUACAAAGUUGGAGAAAGAUAGAAGGAAUUCUACCUUUGUUCAAUGAAGAAGAGGAGGCAGCUGUUGAAGAAGAAAUUCCAAAACUCAAUCUGAAGCCUUUACCUGUGGAGCUGAAAUAUACAUAUCUUGAAGCAAAUAAUCAAUGUCCUGUUGUGAUAUCUUCAUCUCUGACCAGUCAUCAAGAGAAUUGUUUAAUGGAAGUUCUCAGGAGGUGUAAGAAGGCAAUAGGAUGGCAAAUAUCUGAUUUGAAAGGCAUUAGUCCUUUAGUUUGUACUCAUCAUAUAUAUAUGGAGGAGGAAGCAAAGCCAAUUCGUCAAUUUCAAAGAAGGUUGAAUCCUCAUCUACAAGAGGUGGUGCGAGCUGAGGUGCUGAAGCUACUUCAAGCAGGAAUCAUUUACCCUAUUUCUGAUAGCCCUUGGGUGAGUCCUACUCAAGUGGUACCAAAGAAGUCAGGGAUCACAGUGAUUCAAAAUGAAAAAGGGGAAGAAAUUACUACACGCCUCACUUCAGGUUGGAGGGUGUGUAUUGAUUAUAGAAAGCUGAAUGCUGUCACUAGGAAAGAUCAUUUUCCAUUGCCAUUUAUUGACCAAGUGCUGGAGAGAGUCUCUGGACAUCCAUUCUAUUGUUUCUUGGAUGGGUAUUCAGGGUAUUUUCAGAUUGAAAUUGACUUGGCAGAUCAAGAAAAAACCACUUUUACAUGUCCAUUUGGAACAUUUGCUUAUAGAAGAAUGCCUUUUGGUUUAUGCAAUGCACCUGCUACAUUUCAAAGAUGCAUGUUGAGUAUUUUCAGUGAUAUGGUGGAGAGAAUUAUGGAGGUUUUCAUGGAUGACAUCACCGUAUAUGGAGGUACAUUUGAGGAAUGCUUGGUUAAUUUGGAAACAGUUCUUCAUAGAUACAUUGAAAAAGAUCUGGUGCUGAAUUGGGAAAAAUGCCAUUUUAUGGUACGUCAAGGAAUUGUCCUUGGCCAUAUCAUCUCUGAAAAAAACAUUGAAGUUGAUAAAGCAAAGGUGGAGCUUAUUGCCAAAUUACCAUCUCCAACAACUGUGAAAGGAGUAAGGCAGUUCCUUGGCCAUGCAGGGUUCUAUAGGAGGUUUAUAAAAGGUUUUUCAAGUCUUUCAAAACCUCUUUGUGAGCUGUUAGCUAAGGAUGCUAAGUUUAUAUGGGAUGAAAGGUGUCAGCAUAGCUUUGAUCAACUGAAGAAAUUUUUAACAACAACUCCAAUAGUGAGAGCCCCUAACUGGCAGUUACCUUUUGAACUGAUGUGUGAUGCCAGUGACUUUGCUAUAGGAGCUGUGCUUGGCCAAAGAGAAGAUGAGAAGCCCUAUGUGAUUUACUAUGCAAGUAAAACACUGAAUGAAGCUCAAAGGAACUACACAACUACAGAGAAAGAAUUGUUAGCUGUGGUAUUUGAUUUGGACAAAUUUCGAGCUUAUUUAGUGGGGUCUUUCAUCAUUGUCUUUACUGACCAUUCAGCCUUGAAGUAUUUAUUGACAAAACAAGAUGCAAAAGCAAGGUUGAUUAGAUGGAUUCUUUUAUUACAAGAGUUCGAUCUUCAAAUCAAAGAUAAGAAAGGAGUGGAGAAUGUAGUAGCUGACCACUUGUCAAGGUUAGUUAUAGCACAUAAUUCCCAUCCCUUGCCUAUCAAUGAUGAUUUUCCUGAAGAAUCACUCAUGUUCCUAGUGAAAACUCCUUGGUAUGCUCAUAUUGCUAAUUAUUUAGUAACUGGUGAAAUUCCAAGUGAGUGGAAUGCACAGGACAGGAAACACUUCUUUGCCAAAAUUCAUGCUUAUUAUUGGGAAGAGCCCUUUCUCUUUAAGUAUUGUGCAGAUCAGAUCAUUAGGAAAUGUGUCCCUGAAGAUGAGCAGCAAGGGAUUCUAUCUCAUUGUCAUGAGAAUGCAUGUGGAGGCCACUUUGCCUCUCAGAAAACAGCCAUGAAGGUAUUGCAAUCAGGGUUUACUUGGCCAUCUCUUUUCAAAGAUGCCCAUAUCAUGUGUAGAAAUUGUGAUAGAUGCCAAAGGCUUGGAAAGCUAACAAAAAGAAAUCAAAUGCCUAUGAACCCCAUUCUAAUAGUAGAGUUAUUUGAUGUAUGGGGCAUUGACUUCAUGGGACCUUUCCCAAUGUCUUUUGGUAAUUCUUACAUUUUGGUGGGGGUAGAUUAUGUUUCUAAAUGGGUUGAGGCAAUCCCCUGUAAGCAAAAUGAUCACAGGGUGGUUCUCAAGUUUCUUAAAGAGAACAUUUUCUCAAGAUUUGGGGUGCCCAAGGCUAUAAUCAGUGAUGGAGGUGCUCAUUUUUGCAACAAACCUUUUGAAGCUCUGUUAUCCAAGUAUGGAGUGAAGCAUAAGGUGGCUACACCUUAUCAUCCUCAGACUUCCGGGCAAGUUGAGCUAGCUAACAGGGAAAUAAAGAACAUCUUGAUGAAAGUGGUGAAUUCCAACAGAAAGGAUUGGUCUAUUAGGCUUCAUGAUUCAUUGUGGGCAUAUAGAACAACUUAUAAGACUAUUCUUAGGAUGUCUCCUUAUCGUCUUGUCUAUGGUAAAGCAUGCCAUCUCCCUGUGGAAGUUGAAUACAAGGCUUGGUGGGCAAUAAAGAAGCUGAAUAUGGAUUUGAUCAAGGCCGGAGAAAAGAGAUUUCUAGACCUUAAUGAGAUGGAGGAAUUAAGAAAUAAUGCUUAUAUCAAUUCCAAAGUUGCAAAACAGAGGAUGAAGAAGUGGCAUGAUCAACUCAUCUCCAACAAGGAAUUUCAGGAAGGGCAAAAAGUUUUGAUGUAUGACACAAGACUCCAUAUUUUUCCUGGGAAGCUCAAGUCAAGGUGGAUUGGUCCAUUUGUUAUUCACCGAGUAUAUUCCAAUGGAGUGGUGGACUUAUUGAAUUCCAAUGGCAAGGACAGCUUUAGAGUCAAUGGAUAUCGUCUCAAGCCAUUCAUGGAGCCAUUCAAAUCAGAAAAGGAGGCAAUCAACCUCCUUGAGCCUCAAAAAGCCUAAGUGAAAUGGGUUUGCUGGGCGUGGUUUUACCACAGUCCAAAAUUUUUGUAAAUUUUGUAAUUUUUCAAGUUGUUUCCAUACUUUUGAUCUUAGUUUUUGAUCUUAAAUCGUGUUUUUAGGUGUGUUUUAAUCGUUUUAUAUGAUCCCAGGUGGAAGAAAUUUUAAGGAAAUUGAAAGAAAAAAAUCGAGCCGAAAUUGGAGCCGAAACAGAGCAAAAACAGGGGAGAAACAGAGCUCUGCGAAAUUUCGCAGGGUGAAGAAAACCUCUGCGAAAUGAGCAGUUCGUUGCCAAACCAUUCCGCAGCACUGUAGAAGUCUCUGCGAGUGUAUUUCGCAGCUGCGAAAGUGAAUUUGGCACACGAGUGCCACUUCGCAGAACAGUGGCAUCAAUUUCGCAGCUGCGAAACUCAUUGCGAAAUAGAAAAGCGUGAUUUCGCACCAAAAGUCCCAUUCCGCAGGGCAUUUCGCAAUUGCGAAAGUGGUUUUGGCACACGAGUGCCACUCCGCAGCACAGUGACAUCAAUUUCGCAGCUGCGAAACUCACUGCGAAGUUGCUGCGAAAAUGGCAAGUUGCUGCGAAAUUGGCGUUUUGUUGCGAAACUUAAACUGACCCCUGGGUUUCCGUUUUUCCUAUUUAUACCGGUCAAAAGUGCUGCGAAAAGGGUUUCAAAAAUCAGAGCACCAUUCUCGCAGCCCCUUCGUCUUCUUCACCAAGCCACGCCGUCCGUGUCUCCGGUUGUCUUCUCCGUUCAGCAGCGCCGGCCAAAGUUUCGGUAUUCCAAAAUGGCACGAACGCGUGGGGCAAAGUCUUCAUCCCCUUCAAACCGCAAAAGGAGUCUGCGAAAGGAGCCAAGUCCAGGUUCUGUUCCAGAACCUGCUCCAAAGCCUUCGCCGUCGAGACUAAAUCCUCCUCCAGUGAAGCCGGCGCCACCAAAGCCGCCGGCAAGGCGAUAUUUAACAAGGUCAGGCGGUCAGCCAUUGAAGAAGAAACCCAGGGUUGAGAGCUCUGAACCAAUUGAUUUGACUGAGCAAUCCCCUGAGAAAUCCCCAAAGCUAACACCGGUUCAAUCUCCGGUAUCUUCACCAAAUCCUUCACCGGUUCAAACUCCAGGGCCGUCACUGGUUUCCUCGCCAAUUCCCUCACCAGAAGCAACUCCAAUUCCAUCGCCGGUACCAUCUCCGGCACCACAAGAAAAACCUCAGGAGCCUCAAGCGCCAAUUCCAGAGCCCCAAAUUGCAGCUGAAGCACCUCUGGAAGAAGUGAUCCGAAAGCCAAUGCUGCCCCAGCCCCCAAUCGAAGGAAACUUGGAUUGUCGAACUCGGGCAUUCCAUUCUGAGCUCUGCUUUGACUUAGCAGCAUUUAGAGUGAGGCCAGAGCUUGCCCAAUCUUUCCAGCUGCUGAGGAGAUAUCAUAUGGAGCAUCUGCUAGCUCCAAGGGAUUUUUUCUAUCCCCGGGUAGUCACUGAUUUCUACCAGACCAUGACAACCAAAGAAGUAAGAAAUCCAACCUUGAUUCAUUUUAUUAUUGAUGGGAGACAUGGUAUUUUGGGAGCAAGACAUAUUGCCGAAGCCCUGCAAAUUCCUUUUGAGCCAACCCAAUUCGACAAUUUUAAAGUUUGGGUAAAUCCUACUGAGUUAGAGAUGGUUCGCACACUAACCAGAGGAGCUGCAAAUCGAUCACAUCUGUUGAGGGGGGAGCUACCUCCAGUGAUGUUUUUGAUUGAUGCCUUUUUGAGGCAUAAUAUCUAUCCCCUGCAGCAUUGGACCCAAAGAAGGGGAAUUCUCCUAGAAGCCUUGUACAAGAUGUCAGAAGGAUUCUUAUUUGGGCCUCAUCAUCUUAUCAUGGCAGCCCUUCUAUACUUUGAGGAGAAGGUUCACAAGAAGAAGCUUUAAAGAGCAGAUUGCAUUCCACUCCUCUUCCCAAGGCUGCUAUGCCAAGUUUUGGAGCAUCUCGGAUACCCGGCUGAGCCUCAGCUGGAGAAAAAGAGAAUAUGUCGUGAGCCAUUUACUCUUGAUAAAUGGAAUAAUAUGACGGCCUACAAAAUUGAUCAGCCUGGGCAACCUCAGCCAGCUGCAAGGAGAGCUUCCACAAGGCACAGACCAGAGGAUAUCACACUUGCUACUCCUGCCAUCCCUCGAGCUCCACCAGCUGCACCUGCUCCAUCACAGCCAUCCACAUCAGCCAAGCCGAGGAUGGCCAUCCCUAUAUCCGAAUAUCGAGAGCUUUGCCGUGCAUUGGAGACUUUUACAGCUUCCCAGAGCAAUCUUGCUCAGGAGUUGGCAGCCAUCAAAGCAUGCCAGGAGCAGAUGUUAGCCUCUCAGGCUCAACAAGCUGCCAUCCUAAGGCAGCUUCAAGUCCAUUUCGAUCUGCCACAAGCUGUAGAGCCCUCCACUGAGACUCCACCAGAGCCACACUCUCAGCCUUCAGAGUCUCAUCCUCCAAAACCCGAAGCCCCAGCUGAUCCACCUACUGAGGAGGUAGAUCCUUCUGCUUAGCACCACCACCCCACUCAUCAGACAUUAUAUAUAUUUGCUGUUUAUGUUUUUAUGCAUGUUUGUUUUGUUUUAGUUGAAAUGAAAUCCCAAUAUUUUGGUACUAUAUAUGGGAUUCCUUGUGUUACUUGUCUUUAGCAUUGUAAUCAAAUGAACUCAAAGUAAUACAAGUUGAAUUUUUCUUGUUAAAAGUUAGCAUUAAAGUUUCCUUAUUUCCUUUUCUCACAUAUUCUAUUCUUUUUGAAACAUGUGGUUUUCCCCAAUCAAUAUUCGAAUUUGUUAUCAGCAAGGAGGUACCACUUCCUCCCUUUUAUUACAGUCACUCAAAUCACAUUGAGGACAAUGCUUAGUUCGGUUGGGGGGUAUGAGGAAGGAAGUAUUCUAAAUCUUUUUGGUAUUGUAAAUUACAUUGGUUAAUUAGUUGUAGUUUUUACUUUUUACUCUUGUUAAUCUACUCUCCAUGAAUUUUGAGGAAAAAUUUUCAAAUUAAACCAAGAGAAAUUGAACUGUUGUUUUUUCACUUGACUUAGAGUAUGGAUUAUGCUUACUAAAGUGGUUCAAUUGUUGAAACUUCUACUGUAAUUGAAUUGAGUUCUUCCACUUUAAGCUAUCCACACACUGUGCACAUUAGUUUCCGAUUAUAACAUGAAAAGCUAUUUCCCUCUUGACUUAGGAUAAUUUUGGGACUUGGUAUAUUUGACCUCAUUUGAUAAAAAUUGAAACACCCUGCAAAAGGCCAAUGAGCCUUUGAAAUAAAGAAAGUUGUUUGGUUGCCUUGAAACCCGAGCAAGGUCUGAGGGGUAUAUGGUGAAAAUCUUUUAAGCCUGGUGCCCUAAGCCUUAAUUGGUUGGGAGUCACCGACCUUAAUGCUCGUUACAAGGGUGAAUAGGUAGAGCUAGCAUAUGGUAGAUGCUUGGGUAUUAGAAAUUCAUUCUUAAAAGUCCGGGGAAAAUCCGAGGAGUUAGUGGUUGAAAGAUCCUUAAAACUUGGUGCCCUAAACCUUAAUUGGUUGGGAGUCAUCGAUGGACCCCCAUUACAUGGACAAGUCAAAAAGAGUACCCCAUAAAGCUACUGCAAAAAAAAAAAAAAAAAAAAAAAAAAAAAAAAAAAAAAGAUGAAAGUGUGUUCUUUUCUUAUUGAUUUUGGUCAGUUUGCUAAAGUGUUGAAAAGAGAUAGGUUGGGGGGGGGGGGAAAUUAAUAACAUAUUAUUCUCGGAAGCUAAAAAACCAAAACACAUAAAUUUUUGUGGAAAAUUGAAGUUUAAUUCUUAAAAAGGGAAAUGAUUUUAAAACUUCAAUUUGCCUAAAGCCCUCCCUUGAUUGACAGUGUUUAACAUAAUUUGUUAUGACUCUUGUUGAAAAUUUGGNNNNNNNNNNNNNNNNNNNNNNNNNNNNNNNNNNNNNNNNNNNNNNNNNNNNNNNNNNNNNNNNNNNNNNNNNNNNNNNNNNNNNNNNNNNNNNNNNNNNCAAGGAGAAAAAGCAAAGAUAAUCUGCCAUAAAUCCUAUUCUUGAUGACAGUCGUAGCAGCCACUUUUGGAGCACUUUCUGAAUUCCAAAUGAUGCAAGCUAUAUACCAUUUCAAAGCUCAGGAAGUCAACAAUCCAAUGCUUCAAACGGUGCACGAUUCGGAGUUGAAACGAAGAAGUUGCAGCCAUUACAAGCCAGUCACUCUAAAGUGUUGCGGAAUCAGCCUUUUGUUGCGAGAAUUUCGCAGCACUUUUGUACAGUAAGGUGUUUCUCCUUCUGACGAUGCACGAACCAUGCCACGAGAGGGAAGCUAGGAACUUUAAGAUGGAAGCCAACUUUGCGGCCUGGUGAAGAUAGCUCGGUCUUGCGAAAUAAUUUCGCAGCCCUCUUGGGUGUCUACGAAAUUUCGCAGACCUCAUUUUUUACCUGCGAAAUGGCUCCUGAAGCCUCCCGAAGCUUGCUACCGACAUUGGGAGAUAUUUUCCAUUAGAUUUUUGUUGUCUAAAUCCCAAAAUACUCCUUGUAAACCACCAAUUACAUGAUUCCUUAGUUUUUAAGUUAGUAAAAAGACCAAAUAUCUUGGUAACAAUUAGUUUUAUAUUGUUUUGAUAUAUAUACCUCUCGGGAGCCUGUUCUCAGAGAGGAGUUCCUUCUGUAACCUUUUGGUAAGCAAGUAAAGACUUUUCUUUCUACUGCCUUACCUUCUCACUUUGUAUUUUCAUUUUAUUUCUAAGUUAUGAAUUCUCUGAGGAGUUUUCCCCAGAGAAUGAGUAACUAAACCUCCAAUUCCUUGGAGCUAAGGUUGCCGGGGAAGGUUCCAAGUGCAAGAAUGCAAAGCUUUGUGGUUUUAGCUAGUAAUGAAGAGGAAGUGAAAUCCUUUAGUGAUUUCAAUGUUUUUAGUUAACUUAAAACACCUUGGAGUCACCUGGGCCAACACUUGGUAAGGCAAGUGAUUUCCAACCAUGGAAAUGCACUAGUUUACCCCUUGCGAGCCUCUGGNNNNNNNNNNNNNNNNNNNNNNNNNNNNNNNNNNNNNNNNNNNNNNNNNNNNNNNNNNNNNNNNNNNNNNNNNNNNNNNNNNNNNNNNNNNNNNNNNNNNAAAAAUUGAAACACCCUGCAAAAGGCCAAUGAGCUUUGAAAAUAAAGAAAGUUGUUUGGUUGCCUUGAAACCCGAGCAAGUUUUGAGGGGUAUAUGGGGAAAAUUUUUUAAGCCGGGUGCCUUAAGCCUUUAAUUGGUUGGGAGUCCCCGCCCUUAAUGCUCGUUCCAAGGGUGAAUAGGUAGAGUUAGCAUAUGGUAGAUGCUGGGGUAUUAGAAAUUCAUUUUUAAAAGUCCGGGGAAAUUCCGAGGAGUUAGUGGUUGAAAGAUCCUUAAAACUGGGUCCCUUAACCCUUAAUUGGUUGGGAGUCAUGGAGGGACCCCCAUUCCAUGGACAAGUCAAAAAGAGUCCCCCAUAAAGUUACUGCAAAAAAAAAAAAAAAAAAAAAAAAAAAAAAAAAAAAAAGAUGAAAGUGUGUUCUUUUCUUAUUGAUUUUGGUCAGUUUGCUAAAGUGUUGAAAAGAGAUAGGUUGGGGGGGGGGUGAGAUUAGUAGCAUAUUAUUCUCGGAAGCUAAGAAACCAAUACACAUAGAUUUUUGUGGAAGAUUGAAGUUUAGUUCUUAGAAAGUGAAAUGAUUUUAAAACUUCAAUUUGCAUAAUGCACUCCCUUGAUUGACAGUGUUUAGCAUAGUUUGUUAUGACUCUUGUUGAAGAUUUGGGUUUGUAUUUCUUUAAUGAUUCAUGUGAGAAAUAGAUCAUCAUGCCACUUGAAAAUUAUUUUCCUUUAGCAUGAUGUUGUAAAUUUUAGUAUAAUUAGCUUUUUAUUUUCAUUUUUCUCUCCUUUAUUGCUAAGGGACUAGCAAUAUGUCGGUUGGGGGGAGUGAUUACCACUCAAAAAGUGCUAUUUGAUAGCCUUUAAUUAAUCCUUUUUAACACUUUUGAGUAGUAGUUUAGGCCUUUUAACUCAAUUGGCAUGUUAAGGAUCCUUUAAAGCAAUUUUGAUCACUUUGUGCAAGUUUUGGUGUUUUUGUUAGUAUUUUGAUCACCAAAGCAAGUCAAGAAUGAGGAGAGCUAUGAGGAAUCUUGGGCAAAGCUUAGAAUUCAAUUGCCAAGAGUGAAUCCGGAUUGCAAGGAGAAAAAGCAAAGAUAAUCUGCCAUAAAUCCUAUUCUUGAUGACAGUCGUAGCAGCCACUUUUGGAGCACUUUCUGAAUUCCAAAUGAUGCAAGCUAUAUACCAUUUCAAAGCUCAGGAAGUCAACAAUCCAAUGCUUCAAACGGUGCACGAUUCGGAGUUGAAACGAAGAAGUUGCAGCCAUUACAAGCCAGUCACUCUAAAGUGUUGCGGAAUCAGCCUUUUGUUGCGAGAAUUUCGCAGCACUUUUGUACAGUAAGGUGUUUCUCCUUCUGACGAUGCACGAACCAUGCCACGAGAGGGAAGCUANNNNNNNNNNNNNNNNNNNNNNNNNNNNNNNNNNNNNNNNNNNNNNNNNNNNNNNNNNNNNNNNNNNNNNNNNNNNNNNNNNNNNNNNNNNNNNNNNNNNGUACAUCACCCGUUAGAGAAUUGACUAUAAGUUGAAUCUCUAAUGCGAGGAAAUGAACCAUCUGACCGGAGCUAUGUCUUUUGCAUGAGGAACCACCCCAGUGAACCUAAAUCUCCAAGGAAUGCUUUUCUUCCUAAAUUAUUCCAAACUUCUGUUAAGUUAGGUAGUUUAAGUCUAAACCUUUACCAAUCAAACUUUGUGUUUUACUUCUUAAGCUAACCGUGAAAUGAAACAAGACCAAUUCACUUGGAAUUGGUAUCCUUGAUUGCUUGUUCAUCAUUCCCAGUGAACGAUCCUAGAGCCACUAUACUAUAGUAGCUUUGUAUUUGCUACCCUAGUGUAUGGUGUUAUAGGUAUAAAUUUUGUUGAUCACUUCCUCAAUCAAGGAGCACCAGCUGAACACAAAUCAGCUGAGACACCAAUUGGGCAUGAGUCAGUCCACCAAUGGUUUUUUGGUACUGUACCUUAGGUACUACCUUAAUGACCCUUAGGUACUACCUUAGUGGCCUUCAGGUAUUACCUUAACGGACCCUAGGUACUACCUUAGCUAAACCUGAACUCUACCUCUCUCAAGCCUCGGGCCUUCUUUCGUGACCCUUACACCAUGCCAUUAUGUGGUUCUCAUGUGUUCUCAAGUGGUCCACCAAAGGUUUUUUGGGAUUGUACCUUAGGUACUACCUUAAUGGCCCUUAGGUACUACCUUAACGGACCCUAGGUACUACCUUAGCUAAACUUGAACUCUACCUCUCCCAAGCCUCGGGCUUUCCUUUGUGAUCCUUACACUAUGCCAUUAUAUGCUUCUCUUGUGUGCUCAAAUGGUCCACCAAUGAUUUUUUGGGACUGUACCUUAGGUACUACCUUGAGAGCCCUAAGGUAAUCUAUAAAUCACUUCCAUAGGCCGGCAUACUAACUUUAAGCAUAGCUACAUAAUCCAUCGGAUGUUCUUGAUUUCCAUGGAAUGUCCCCGGUAAGUGAUUCAUUAUCUUUGGAAAAAUCUAUUGAGUUAAUGUUACAAAUAGAAGGAAGAAAUUUCUCUAUUGUAACUUGGAAUUUGACUUCUCUUAAUACUAUUGAUGCAGUUUACUUUUCUUAAUAUUAAUUUAUUAUUUGAGCACAUUUGUUAUGAAACUCGUUGUGAGUGAGGAAUGAAGGUUAGUGUUGAUUCUUUGUCUAUCUUUUUUAGGCUGCAAGAGAAACACGGGCCCUUAAAGAAGCUAAGGACAAGCUACAAAAGCGGGUGAAGGAAUUUACAUGGAGAUUGCAGUUGGAGAAGCAAUUAAGGGUAGUGUAGAUAUUUUUUCCCUCUUCAUAAAUGUAUAUAUUAUACAUAUAUAGUCCAUCAAUUAGGGUGUUUAGAGUUGUUGUAGAUCAGCUAGUCCCCUAUGUUAACUAAUGGAACUCUAGAAGGGAGGAAGUCCACCACCAAAAUUUUGCUCACAUAUAAUCUGUAAUAUUUUCUUGAUUUUCAAUUUUAAGUUUUAUUAUCCACAAUUGUAUUUUGUGUCCCACCAUCUUUAAAAUGUCUCAGGAUUCAAGUCUUGCCAUUUCUUCUCCACAAGAACCUCAAUAUGAGGAAAAGCCCCAGAAAUCUCUCAUUGAAAAGCAGCAAGUGGAUAUUCUCUUUCGGUCUUCCUUUUUCUUCAUGCUAAUCAUUUUUUCUGGUGCAGGAAAACCAAAACCUGCUAAUCAAGUUUAUUUCACAAGAUCUAGGAUUCUCUGGGGGCAGGCCUAUUGCUGCUUGCCUGAUUUACAAAUCCCUCCUCCAAUGGAGGUCAUUUGAGGUUGAAAGAACCAAUGUAUUUGAUCGUAUCAUUCAGACAAUAGGUGCAGCAAUAGAGGUAUAACUGACCUCUGUUUUACUUGGUUUCUAUAUCUUGGAUGUUUGAAAAUAGUGACUACUGUCAAUUCCCUUGUUGGACCUGGUAAACUAAAUUGAAUUUGCUUAAUGGGACCAAGAUAUUUCACUAGAAGAAUGAUUGAAAAUUAAUAGGAGAUCAACAUCAGCUUCUUUAUUUGGGACCUUAUACCUUCUAAGAGGAUGCAUACCACAGAUGAUAAUACAUCAAGUACUUAAACAAUCAACAAGUACCCAUCUUGGAUGACAGAGAAAAACAAGAAUUUCAAAGAUGCAUAAAAACUUAUAAUAAGAACCUGCCUUCACUCCACUAGGCACAUAUCUACAAUGCAAGAGACAAAAAAAAAAAAAGAAUCAAUAGCCGCUAAAAAACACUAGGGUUUCAAUAUUAAUGAAUUCCAACACAUUGAAGUAGCUGGAAUAAUCCAAAUAAACAAACAGGCUGUAAUCCAAAUGAAAAAAAAAAAAAACAAAGUCUAUUACAAUUCUAUAGUGCCGAAACUUUGUGAAUUUAGCAUCAAUCUUGAAUGAGUCUUCAAAUUAAGCUCAAAACAAGCAAGUAUUGCUAUGGAAAUGAGCACAAAAAUCUUCAGCUCAUCAAAGUAAAUGAGGAAUACCAAUAAUAUUAUAGAAUAUCAACAUGAACCAUACUGAAAUAUUGGCCGAAAUAUUGAUAUUGAUUUGUCCAAAUGUAAGUUCAGUAAGAUUUCAGAAUUGACACACAUUGAUAUUGACGGUAAAUAGGUGUAUCAACUUAUCCUACGACCAUGUAACCUAUGCCCGGACAAUCUAGUAAGUGGUGGCAUAAUUCAAUUUUUUUUACACAUGGAAGUUGUCAGUUACCUCUCAUUAAUAAGCCAGUCCAUGUAAUACCACAUCAAUGAUCCAUAAAACCAGCGAGAAAAGAAAGAAAGAAAGAAAGAAAGUUGAAGUACUCAACUGAUCAGAUUUUUUGAAGUAAUCCGAGGAGCUUUGAUGGCAACACCAAUUAAACUACUUGCAGUUAUAUAAAUUCCCUUAAAAAUGCAGCAAUAACGCAACCAUCAAAACAACGAUCCAACAAAAAAAAAAAAAAAAAAACAAAUAUAAUGUAUCAAUUUAACCUAAACCUCCGCUGGUUUGACAAGAAUGCAAAAAUUUUAGUAGUUGUUUUCUUUUAGUGGAUUUUACAAGGGAGGAAGGGAAGAGAAAGUACCAAGUGGCACCCAAGACGGAAACGCCGAUGGUGGAGAAGGUGUAAGGUGAGAUCUGAACCAGUGUGCGAGACCAUGAGCUUGAUGCACCCACUAUUGAUUUCGAUCACCAAUUUUCCCCGGAUCUGAUCUUCAUUUCAGAAAUUAGGGUUUCUGGAUCAAGUAAUUUGGGAACAAAAAGGAUAUCACCUUUCCUGGUUUCCUCCCGUAGUCCCGUGUCUCUUCCUUCUGAUUCGUUUCUCAUUUACCAACACAUCCACUUGAUAAAUUCUUCUCAUCCGCAGCAUUGUAACUUUUUUUUGGGAAAAUUAGGUUUUGGGCUGUUGAUGUUUAUCAACAAAAUGGGAGACGAGAAUGUUACAGAAAUGAAAGAGUUUAGGUUUUACAGCAUUUUGGGUUUCUGAGAUUGAGAAUGGGAGAGAGAAGAGGAAAAACAGUAUAUGAGAGAAAUAUUGGCUUUGUGGCUUUUCGGAGGGUUUUUUCUCUUCUGAAUUUUCAGAUGUGGAACGCUUAGCUGGCAAGGUGAAGGGUAUUUUUGGCAUUAAAAUACACAUAAGCUAAAAGUGCAUGAUUCUCCAAAUAUUUUCUAAUUACAUUAUUAAUUUUGAAAUACAUAAAAUUGGGUUAUCAAAAUCAUAUAUUUUCCACAUCACCCACCCAAAAUCUAACUUUCCCUAGAAUAUUUGUUCUCUAUAAAUUAGGAAGAAAACUCUCACAAAUUUCAUCACUUUUACUUUCUCUCUCUCUCAAUUCUCAAACCAGUUUCAUAUACACUGAUAGAUCUCACCACUAUUUUUCUGCAUCAGUUUCUUAUCAGCUUCAGGUAAAUCCAUUUUUAUUCACUUCUUUCUUAAAUGUUGAAUUGUAGUUGAUAUUUACAUAAGAGCCAUGAUGGUCAAUUUUUUAGUGUUGAGUUAGCUAUAGAUGAGGUUCAAGCAUCAAUGCACCAACCUCAUCAUCUUUAAAGAUGGUAAAAGAGAAAUACAAUUUUUGAAGUAAAUUGAUUAAAAACAACAAGAAAAUGCCAUGCAGAAUUGGGUUUGAUGAUCCAUUUAUGCUUGGGUUGGAGAGGAGUGGUGACUUUUCUAAUUUUAUUUUUUUGAAAUAUAAUAACCACUAGCAUGUUCUAUGUCUGUGGUUUAUUCAUGGUUGCAUCAAAUUAAAUCAAUCACCUUUGUCUAAUCUUGUGACUGUGAAUGGUAGCUCCCAUGGCUGCAACCGAUGUGGCAGUGCAUUUAUAUUGGAAUGGAACAGCGAAGACCGAGAAAUACGAUGUUGUUUACGAAAGUGAUGCCAUGAAAGUAUUAAGCUCAACUAUGGAACUACGUAUGCUGGAUUGUUGGAUAAAAUCUACGCAACUACGAGCAUUAAGAAGAAGGAUUUUGAGUUGAACAUCAUAUGCAGAUACCCUAUAUCUUCAAGGGAAUAUAAGCCCAUCCCAAUAAAGAAUGACGAGGCCGUAGAACUUAUGUUGGAAGUGCCAUGCAGAUCAUCUAGAGUCUAUUGUGUAGAGAUAUAUUUGGAGAAAGAAGCAAGGCAAUGUGUGAAAAUCACGUUUCUGUGUAGAUCGAUCUCUGGACUGAUCUGCUCUCGACAUUGUAAUUUUAUUGUGUUGAAUUGGCUUCUAUAUCAAAUCAGUGAGUGUUAAGGGCUUGAAUUAAGUUUGGUAUGGCAUGAUAAUAUGUGAUCAUGGAGGUUCUUUUCGUCUACUCCCUGAAGAAGGGUAAAAAUGACAUUUUUAGCAUGGUUGCCCACCUGCCCUUUCUUCAAUUGGUGAUUGAGCUACCGGAUUCGACGAAGGGAGGAGCCAAGGGACAUGUGUUGGUCCGGGGUGCCUGGGCAGGGCUACUGGAGCAUUCAGAGAGGCCAUUUUCCCCAAACCGCUCGCUGGUGCUUCCGGGUAAGUCAGCUUGCGGGGUUUGUUCGACAUUUGUCUUGUUGUUCUUCUUGCUGGGGUUAUCAGAUGGCUUAACAUCUUUGGUUGCUGAUAAUGCAGGUUCGGACAAGAGGGAUCGCGUAGUCGAGUGGGUAGAAAAAGCGUCGUUCGCUCGACUGAACAAGUUAUUUGAGAUUACUGCCAUUGAGAGGCAUCAUGAGAUACUGCUCACUGCGCGAAACCUGCUGGUCGUUGUCCGGGAGCCCCAAGCGUACGACAUCAAUAUUCUCCCCAGGAAGUUGCCAAAGAAGAUAGUGUCUGGGGAGCAUUACGUUUUGAAAGAUCUCCCUUUCUACAAGGAGGUGCAAAAGGCAGACGCUCAGAAACGCCAAACACGCCUUGACGAUCGGGAGGGGAGGAGGAAAGAGGGAACUUUGAGGAAGGAUCCUGGUAAAAAACGCUCCGCACCCUCACUUCCUACUGGCGCCCCAGCGAAAAAGAAGAACAAGAAGAAGUUGGUUCUUAAUAAGGGGAAAAAAAUAAAACUUCCAACUCCUCCUAAGGAAGUGGUAAUGCCGCCUCCAACUUUUGUGAAGGAAAUAACAAUAAGAGAGCCCGAGGUCCCCCCCUUGCCCUCUGUCUCUAACGGCUUCGGACGCCUUACGGGUCUGAACCAUUCGGGGCCUUCAUUGUCAGUGGCUGGACGUCUGACUCUUCUGGCUGAGGAUAUGACUUCAAUAAAUCAGCCCGACUCUCCCCAUCCGGAUGCGGACGCAGCCGGGGCCUCUUGUGCUGCAGCAUCGCCUCCUAUGGCACCCCCAACGGAAGAAAUGGGAGUAGAAAGUCAAGGUUUGCCUCCUUGCGAGCCAAACCCCCUUGCCUUUGUACCGGUGAAAGGGCCAGCUACAAGGAGGUCUCGUCCGGCCUGUGACUUAAAGUUUGGCCUCGUCGGGCGGCUUCAGGAUCGUUUCUUGGAAACCAUCAAAGUCAGUUGCUCAUCCGUCCAGGAUGAUCAUCCUGAGGGCAGUGAGGUGGAGAUGGCAGAAGAGAACCCAGCUGCCCCGGCGCUGGUCCCGAAUGGGGGUUUACUUGAAGAGGCCCAGCCGGUCGAGAAUGAAGGGGCCCCAGACCCGGAGGGGGGGUCACUCUCUAAUGCCUCAUCAUAGGAGAGUUCUGUUGAUGAUGCAGCUUGCAUUUCCGCUAACUCUUUCAGCUACGCGGAGUUGGAAGAGAAGCUAAAACGGAUUCCACCCGGCUCAAAUGUUGCUAUGCCUUCAGCAAAAAUGUUCAAAGCGGUGGAAAUGGUAUAGUUUGCUUUCUUGAUUUUUCUCGCCAUACUGAUGUGUUUGUCACAUGGAUUGUAAAAUUUUUUUUGCUUUAUGGGUUUUUCUGCAGCUGGUGAGCGGUCUUCGCGGCAUGGCCCAACAACAUGACCUGUUUUCUGACCUGCUACGGACCGCUGAUUAUAUGAAGGCCUUCGCCUCUCAGCGCAGAAACAGUGAAGAGGAGCUGCGCUUGAGACUGGAGCGGGCCGAAGCCAGUUUAUCCGCUGCUCGAAAGGACAACGAGGCUCUCCGAGUAGAGCUUGCUGAGGCAAAGAGCCGAGAAGAAUCUGUGGACACCCGUCUGCAUGAGGUGAAGGACGAGAUGGCCCUUCUGAGAGGGGAGGUGAGGCAACUCCGGACGGAGGUAUCUAUCGAGAAAAAGCAGAGAAAGGAUUUGCAACUACGUUUAUCAACGCAAAAAGAAGAGUUGGAGGGUGAGUUUGCUGUGAAAAGGGAGGAGCUUAAAGCGGACUACCAGAAGCAAGUAGACGAAAUGUACUUUUUCGGCUACCGUUGCUGUAUGAAAAAACACAGUAUCAAACGGGACGUUCCUUCAAUUCCCUUGGGUGAAGAGGAGAAGCUGCGCGGCAAGCCUGCUUAAUGAGAGCUUUUCUUUUUGUAAUUUUUUACUACUACCCUCUCUUUGUAUCUUGUAGUCCGAAGAACUCUUUGUAUACAACUUCACAAAUAUUAAUAAAACAUACUUAGUCAUAUUUGUACUUGUCUUUUUCUUUCACUGGUAAUAUUGUUUCAAAUUAGACACAUUCCAUGGUCUAAGUAAUGGAGUUCCGUCUAGCUUUUGUAGAUGAUAAGCUCCACUUUCACUUGAUUUAGAUACUAUAUAGGGUCCUUCCCAGUUGGCUUGAAAUUUUCCCACUCCUAUUUCAGUAGUAUUAUCGAAAACUUUUCUAAGGACUAGCGUACCAUUUUUGAAGCUUUUGGGUCUUGCUUUGCGAUUGUAGUGAGCGGAUGCCCUUUGUUGAUAGUUUGCCAUCCGAAUGGAUGCAGUUUCUCUUUCUUCGUCUGCCCAGUCCAAAUUUCUUCCUAACUCCUCAUUUGCAUCAUCAUGCGUUCCUAUCUCGGUCCAGAUAGUGGGUAGCCCUAUUUCAAUAGGAAUGAUUGCAUCCAUACCGUAUGCGAGGGCAAAGGGAGUGUUUCCUGUCGGGCGUCCGGGUGUGGUUCGAUAAGCCCAUAGGACGCCAGGUAGCUCCUCCACCCACUUUCCUUUUGCUUGCUCGAGCCUUUUCUUUAAGGCAGUAAUUAACGUCUUGUUUGUGGCCUCUGCUUGCCCAUUACUUUGAGGAUAACGCGGUGUGGAGUAUGAAUUCCAGAUGUUUAGUUCCGAACAGAAAUUCCGAAAUGCGAUGCUAUCAAACUGCGGACCGUUGUCGGCUAUAAUGAUUUGGGGGAUUCCGAAGUGGCAGAUGAUUUUUUUCCAUACGAAUUUGGUGACAUCUUUGUCUUUGAUACUAGCAUACGCUUCAGCUUCUACCCAUUUACUGAAGUAAUCCGUGGCGACGAGCAGGAAUUUCUUCUGGGCGGGUGCGGUUGGGAGGGGUCCCACUAUGUCCAUGCCCCACUGUGCGAAGGGCCAGGGGCCUGAAAUUGGUUUCAAUGUCUCCGACAGCACAUGUGGUAUGGGGGCAUGCCUUUGACAUUUGUCGCAUUUUUUGACAUAGGCUGCCGCAUCCUUCUUCAUCGUGGGCCAAUAAUAUCCUUGCGAAUGAGCCCUAUGCGCCAGAGAUCGUCCUUCAAAAUGAUUUCCACAUACUCCCUCGUGCAAUUCAGCUAAUACAUACAGGGCCUCCGAAUGGUUUAGACAUCGAAGGUAGGGACCUGUGAAGGACUGUUUAUACAAAUGCCCCCCAAUCAGGGUGAAACGGGUGGCUUGCACCCAAAUUUUGUGUGCUUGCUUGGGAUCUUUGGGCAGAGUGCCUGCCCGAAGGUCUUAUAAUGUCGUUCGUCCACUCUUGGCCAUCUGCCUGCUUUGCCUCAAUGGUGUUGCAAGUGAAAGCUUUCGCGACGGAAGGGUUGACUUGCACAUGUAUAGGCAACAAUAUGGCUUCUUUGAUAGGGAGGGAGGCAGCUAUGCCUGCCAAGGCGUCGGCGCGCCCAUUUUCAGUUCGUCUGAUUUUUUCGAUCGUCCACUCGGUGAAUCGUUGUAAGGUGUCUCUUACUUUAGUUAGAUAUCGCGCCAUGCAGGCAUCCUUAGCUUUGUAUUCCUUCUGGACGUGUCUUACCACAAGUUGGGAAUCACUAUAGACCCGGAGCUUGGAAACGGAUAGAGUCAGGGUGAGGUCCAAUCCGGAUAGGAUGACCUCAUAUUCCGCUUCAUUGUUAGAGGUGGGGAACCCCAACCGGAUGGCUUGCUCCAGAUGUUCUCCUGUUGGGGAGUGUACCAGGAGCCCUACCCCGGAUCCUGACGAUUGGGAGGCUCCAUCGACUCGCAAAGUCCACCAUUCUUCUUUGCUUGGUUCUUUGUGUUGGAUGGGCCUUCGGGAGUAUUCUAGCACGAAGUCAGCCAUCACUUGGCCUUUCAUGGACAAUCUGGGUUGGAACUCGAUUCCAAAUUCACUCAAUUCUAUGGCCCAUUGAAGCAUUCUUCCGGUUAAGUCUGGUUUGUGCAGAAUGUUGCGAAGGGGUUGGUCAGUUAGCACGAUCACACGGGUGGGCUUGGAAAUAGGGGCGGAGCUUCUGGGCGGCACUUCGAAGAGCUAAGGCAGUUAGCUCUAUCUUUGAAUACCUGGUUUCUACAUUCGCCAAUGCUCUGUUGACGUAGUAGAUAGGUUUCUGCUCCUUGGGUGAGGAGCAGCGGAAUAGAACAGCGUUGAUCACCCACUCUGACACAGCCAGAUAUAUGUAUAAUUUUUCUUCAGGGAUGGGGCUGCUCAGGAUGGGCGGUUGCCUAAGGCAGUGUUUAAUUCUUUCAAAAGUGUUUUGACAACUGUCUGUCCAUCCGUUGGCUCCAACUUUUUGUAUUGCCAAGAAUAAUGGUCGCAGUUCAUCAGUGAAGCGGGCUAUAAAACGCCCUAGCGCGACAAGUUUGUCUGUGAGGCGUUGUAAGUCCUUUUUGCUCCUGGGGGGUGGUGUUUCUAUGACUGCCUUGACUUGAUCUGGGUUGACCUCUAUCCCCCUUUGGCUGACCAUAAAUCCCAGGAAUUUGCCAGCACUUACGCCAAAGGCGCAUUUAGAAGGAUUCAACUUCAUGUCAUAUUUCCUUAAGAGGUGGAAGACUUAUUGCAAGUGGAAAACAUGCCCCUCUCGGGUUUUGCUUUUAACCACGAUAUCGUCAAUAUAUACCUCUACUGUGCGGCCGACCAGAGGUUUGAAGAUCUUCAUCAUCAGUCUCUGAUAAGUGGCGCCAGCGUUUUUGAGUCCGAAUGGCAUGACUUUAUAGCAAUAGAGACCAUGUGGCGUUAUGAAGACUAUUUUUUCUUCAUUAGCUGGGGACAUGGGGAUUUGGUGGUAUCUGGAGAAGGCGUCCAAGAAAGAGAGCAUCCCUUGCCCAGCAGUGGAGUCCAUGAUUUGAUCUAUUCACGGCAAAGGGAAAUUGUCUUUUGGACAUGCAUUAUUGAGGUUGGUAUAGUCGAUGCAUACCCGCCAUUUGCCUUCUUUUUUGGGUACCACUACUAUAUUUGCCAACCAGUCCGGGUAAUCCACUUCUCUGAUGAAUCCGGCUUCUAGCAAUUUGUCUAUCUCAUUCCGGAUAAUUUUUUGUCUGUCCGGGUGAAAACGCCUAACCCUCUGCCGGAUGGGUUUGGCUGUUGGCAAGACGUUAAGUCUAUGAAAGGUAAUGGAGGGAUGAAUUCCCUUCAUAUCAGAAUGUGCCCAUGCGAAGACGUCAUGGUUUUGUCUGAGGGCGUUCUGUAUGUUCUGGGUCUCUUCUGGUGUUAGGAGGGAACUGAUAUUCGUAAGGUGAGUAUCUUCUUCCGAAAUUUGGAUUGCUUGCAAGGGAUCCGCUGUCGAGGGAUCUUUGUCCGCCGGACCCAAUAAUUGCUAUUGGUCGCGUGCAUGGCUGGACUCAGGGAGGGAUGCAUCCUCCUGGUUGGUCCCUGCUUCUCGUGCUAUCUGGUAGCAUUGGCGAGCGGCUAACUGGCUGCCAUAUAGGUCAAUUUGCCCAUCCUUGGUAAGGAAACUUACCAUUUGAUGAUAUGUAGAGGGGAUGGCUUUCAUGUAAUGUAGCCAUGUGCGCCCCAAGAUGACAUUGAAGGGUGAUAAAUCUUGUAGCACCGAAAAUUGUACGUUGAGAGUGACUGGGCUAGCUUGGACCGGCAGUAUAAUGUCUCCCAAGGAAGUAGUUGACGACCCGUUGAAUCUGGAUAGGAUUCGCCCAGGGUUUUCGAGGCCUGUGAGACUGUGCCCCAUGUGGUUAAUGACCGAUGCUUGCACAAGAUCGGCCGAACUGCCUGGGUCAACUAGGAUGCGUCUCACGUCGAAGUCUCCUAUUUCUAGGGACAUGAUGAGGGCGUCGCGGUGCGGCUGCAAUAUCCGGGUGGGGUCUACUGGUGGGAAAAUAAUUGUCCCAUCUAUGGGGCGAGGGCCCCCUCCAGUUAUCCCAGGCCAGAUGGAGUUGAUACGCUCGCACCGAUGCGGCCCGCAACAACUUUUGUCUCUUUCGUUUGGAGUCAUACUCCUCGUCAGAUGGGCCUCCGUUAAUAUAGUUUAUAACGACCUUGGGGACGGUUGGGGCCCUAGGGGCUCCAGAGUUGUGAUUUUGGGAAGCAUCUCUACCUUCGGCAUCUGAGAGGAGGUAUUACUUUAAAUGUCCCGCCUUGAUGAGUCUUUUAACCAAAUAAUGGAGGCACCUGCAUGUCUCUAUUGUGUGACCAUGUUCCUUAUGGAAGGCGCAUCUCUUGCUAUGAUCUCUUUUGGAUGGGUCCGUUCCGAGGGGUCUAGGCCACCUGAAGUCGGACAUGUCUCGGAUCAUAAGGAGAAACUUCUCAUAUGAUAUGGAAAGGGGUGUGAGGGGUGGCAUUUUCGGGCGACUCGGCCCUUCCUGCCUUCGAUCGGACGGCCUUGACCGGUCCGGAAGUUUGACACUUCUUUCCGCGCCACUACUAGAUGUCUGUCCAGCAACUAAGACUUGCUAGGUGGCUGCUCGCAUGUCAUCCUCGAGCAUUGAGUAUUUGUUCGCACGCCGGAACAAGUCGUCCAUCGUUGCAGGAGGCUUUUUAGCGAGUGAUUCAUAAAAUGGGGUGCCUGGACAGAUGCUUUGCUUGAAGAUCUAUAGGACAACAUCCAUGCUAUAAGCCUCUACCUGCAGUAUGGCUUGACCAAAUCGCUUCACGAAUUCCCUUAAGGAUUCGUUAUCCUGCAUUUUUAUGUUUUGCAGAGUGUUGAUGUUUUGCUUAUGUCGAGCGGAGUACAAGUAUUGUCCCACGAAGGCCUCUGAUAGGUUUCUGAAAUUACCAACAGAGUUGGGAGGUAGGUGAUGAAACCAUGAGAGGGCCUGCCCUUGUAGGCUGGCGGGAAAUACUUUGCAUAGCAGCGCGUCGUUGCCUAUAUCGAGAGUCAUGAGCUGUCGAUAAUGCAUGAUAUGAUCGAAGGGGUCGUUGGACCCAUCAUAUGUGGAGAAUUUGGGCACGAGGAAUCCCCUUGGGGGCUCGUAAUGAAUGAUAUGAGAGCAGAAAGGCGUGGAGAGCAUGUCGUCCAGCCUUUUUGGUGAUGGAGUCAAUGGGUGGCUCAUUUGGGAGGUUUCUCCCAGAUUGUCGUACCGUUAGGUGCGGUUGAACGUUCUGCACCAUAGGGGUGACCAUGGGGUCACGGUGUGGGAGAACGUUUUGCACCAUAGGGGCGACCAUAGGGUCAGGAUGCGCUUCCCAGGUUGUGGCUACUGGUGGCCUUGGCCUCCUAGGAUCCUGUGGGCCAAGUCUUGCGCGCAUCAAAUUUGACAACUGGGGCCUUUUGUCGCGUUGUCUUUUCGCUGAAAAAUGAGUAGAGUCUGAGCUUUCCUCAUGAGGAGCUCGGUUCAUGGGAGUGGGUGGCUCAUGUGGCCUAACGUUGUAUGCUUCUGGGAUGGCUCCUGCUGUCCUAGGGUAUAUUGACUCUAGCUCUGGUGGCCUUGAGUUUGCUACCUGGCCUUUUGAACGCUGAUGACGGGGAGGCCCCGUCGACGAAGCCUGGAUGCGUAGUACCGCGUUUUCUUCUCUUAACCUUUCGGUCUCCUGGAGGAGAGCUUGUAGUUGUCGUUCGUUUGCCAACUGUCUUCUUUCGAUGGCUUGACGCCAUUCAAAAUUAUCUUCCUCUCCUCUACCAGAUGAACGGCUUCGGGAAGGUGUGGUCAUCUUUACCGGUGACUGAAUCAGCGAAAUUUCCCACAUACGGUGCCAAUGUUGAGGCCUCGUGUCCCUGGUGAUCCACGUAGUUGCCAAAUGGAUGGACGCACGAUUUCAACCAAUAUAGAUUCCUGGUUCAGUUGUUCCUGUAAAAGGCGUCCGGACAGGGUGUCCGGACACACCCUCCGAUGGUUUUGUCAGCCAUGGUGAGAGAGAAUAAUCAGUUGGCCUUUUACUAGGUAUAGCAAGCUUACCUUCCUCUUUGUGUGAAGGUUCAUAUAUAUAGUACCAGAAGCUUUGUUUCCCUCUUUAAUGGUAGGGAGAUAUUUUGGCUUGUCAUGAUGCCACUAGGUGGUGGCAGGGCCAUCAUCACCCUACGGGUGGCUGACAGAGAUCGUGGGAGGCACCGUGGCUGUCAGAGAUCGUGGGAAGUGACUUGCCGUCACUUCAUUCCUGUCCUUUCACUCUACAAGUGGCGGAACGUGGGCCAUGGCAGGCUGUUAUGAUGACGUGCAAGACUUGCUUACUUCAGUCAAUGAUCCGGACAAACAUAUCCGGAUAGUAUAUGUCGGUCGUCCGGAUGCGAUGUGGCGGUCGUCCGGAUGUUAUGUUUGUGAGUGUCGUGUGCCUCUCCUAGAGGGAGUCCGAAUAGGAGAAGCGCGCCACGUGUACUCUUGGGGAAAUCCGGAUGGGGGUGAUCCGGAUGAGAAUGCGUGACACGUGUCAUCAGGAAAUGUGUGCCACGUGUCAACAGGGGGAGGGGUCCCUACAUUCACAUCAUUGAGGUAGGUCACACUACGAAUGUAACAACUAUGUGUUGCAAUUGUCCAAAUGAAUUCCACGUUUUCAUUUGUGAUUGAAAACUAAGUUCUAGUUUGAAAGGAACUAACAACUACAAACCUUUAUACAUGCUUAAUGCUAUGUAUCAUGAUAUUUAUAAUCCGAACUUUGAGUAAAUUAAUACAUUAUCCAUGUACAUGUACCAAAAUAGAUAAAACCUUUUCAAGAUAUACAAUGAAAUUCAUAAUAAACAAUUUUAUUAAUAAGAUAAAAUAUCGAAUAAAGUGACUUAAAAGAUACAAUCCUAACAAAGAACUUGAUACAAAAAAUAUUAAUUGUGCCUGAAGUUUUACUUUUGUUCCUACUUUUACCUUUUUUUCUUUCUUUUUCUAACUUUUUCGUUCCCUUUGUUUUCGAGCCAAUCUCAAAUGAGAGCUUAAGCACAAAGGAAAAUUCGUCCUGUCCAAAUUCCUUGGAGCACAUGGUGGCAGUCCUCAUUAAAUUCAUCAAUUACUUAAGCACUAAGUUAAAAAAGAAUUAGAGAAAAACAACUGGCCACUUGUUUCAAUGAUAAUUAAUCACUAAGAAUUGAUAAGAAAAAAUGAGAACGAUCUCAGGUAUGAAGACCAAAUUUAGAACCAAAUAUAUUAAUUUUAAUUUAUUUCUUUAUAUGUUUGUACCUAGCUUUAUAUAAUUAUACUUUUAUUUCAUAGUUUAAAUUUUAUAAUUAAAUGACUUAAAUUAAAACAAGGAUGUGAUAAAAAAUUAUUAAAGUUUGAAUAGUGGGUGGAUGGAAAGACCAAUCAUUUUAUUUUGUAUGUUGAGCUAUCCCUAUUCAGUUUUAAGUCAGCAAAGAGAACUGAUUCUAUAUCAUCUUCACCCUCUCUCUAUUUCUCAAACCCUUUCUUCUCAUUACUCUUGCGGCUUCAGUGUCUCAUCAGCUUCAGGUAAAUCCAUUAUAUUACGUUUCUUCCUUUCUCUCAUUAUCUAACAGAAGAGACCAAUGCAGAUCAUUUGGGUUACGAUAAUUUAGCUGAUAAAAUCCAGUCGAAGCACGACAAGUGUAAAUUUUCUGUUAGCUUGAAUAACCUUCCAAUGCCUUCGAAUUACUAUAUUGGAGAGACUUCAUCCAAGCGUUCAAAUAAUGGUUCUAAAAGUGACCAUAGCAAGGUACUGGUAAAUGCUAUUAGUAUUUUUAAAUGCAGUUCUGUCUAAUUAAUUCAUUUCAUAAAGAAUGGCAUUUACUUUUUGCAUGCAAUUCUUUUUGGAGGGAAAAUAGUCCUAUUCCUUCUUUCUAAGUUUGAGGCACUUAGACUCAAACUAAUCAUACCAGCCUUGUAAUAAUCUGGAGCCCAGGCACAUUAAUGUCUUCCAUGAAUGGCUAGGGAAAAUUCAGAGGAUGGGGAAGAUUAUUUUAUGUCAAGAAUAUAAUAGAUCGAUUAAUUAAUAGUAAUCAUAAUAUCAGUUUUGAUUCCAUGAUAAAUUUAGUCGCACUGUUCUUUUUUUUUCCUUUUUCAUUUGCUCAGAUGGAGGGACGAAAGUGGGAGGAGCUAAACAUGGACUGUUUGGUGAAUGUGUUUCGAAGAGUGGGAAUGGAGUCGUUGCUCUUGGAUGUUCCCUUUGUAUGCAAGUCAUGGUACAAAGCAAGCCUUGAUCCUAAGUGCUGGGAGCAUCUGAUUUUUCCAAAAUACAUCAAACCUGAUGGUAUAUGGGACACCAGCCCCUUGGGAGAAAGGUUGAUGAUGCAAUAUCGAGAAAGUUUCUCUGUCACUGCAUUCAUAAAGUCUGUGGUUGCCCGUAGCAAGAGACACGCUACUCUACUUAGGCUCCCCAUCUGCUGCACCAAAGAGGCAUUGGAGUACGCUGCUAACGAGUAAGCCACCUUAAAUUAUCUAUCAAAUUAUUUCACUUCGGAAAAAUGCUAUUUUUCUGCUGUUAUUCUUUUUCUUUUUGGCUUCUGUAAUUCCUUGCUCAAGAUGCAGUUUUAUAUUGAUUUGGUAGCUUUUACACAAGAUUUGCCAAUAUUGUGGUUUCCAUUCAUCUUAACUUAUUUAAAAAGACUGCACAAUUAAGAAAUGGGAGAAUGAAAUCAAUUUUUAAUAUGCAUAGUGAUUUUGGAUACCUUGUUAGACUUCUAUAAAAUGACCCCAUGCCUACAAGUUCAAGGGAUUGAUGACAAAUUCACAUGGUCCAAUAUCAUUUUACCAGGUGUGGUUUUCUCUAGUCAUUCCAGGUGUGAGGAAAACCACUGGCUACAAACUAGCAUUUUUUGGCUUUUACAUGCAUUGUUUAAUUUCCUGCUUCCUUGGUUUCUUUUUACUUGUUCCAGGUCUCCCACAUUGAAGACUUUGGAUUUGGAUGCUAUUCUACUUUUGAAACAAUCAACUAUUAUUCCAAAACUGAUAAGCAAGUGGAAAAAUCUGGAGAUGUUGACAUUGGGGAGCAGACGAAACAUGGUGGAAAUCCUAUCCCAAAUCAGUCUUCACUGCAACAACUUCAUUAAGCUAUUUGCUCCAGGAAUAUAUGUUGGGAAAGAUGAAGUAACAGCUAUGAUCACCUCAUUGCCAAACCUUAAGUACUUGGAUCUAAAGGGAUCAACGAUUGAGCAGAAAAAUCUAGUGAUGAUAUUGCAAGGCUGCAAAGAGCUCCAACUUUUAGACGUCAGGGAUUGCAUUGGAUUUUGGGAGGGUAAUGCUGAGAUAUUAGAGCUCGCUUCCCAUAUUCCUAAAUUCAUGUGUGAAGGUUCUAUCUAUGAGGAAUAUGACACAUAUAUUGAUGGUGAUGUCGAUUCUGAUUACUAUUCUGGUUAAGAGUUUGUGAGUUGAGUUUGUUAACCUAAAGCCUCUAUGAGAAGUUCCCUUCUGUAUGCC
rnacentral:lncRNA from 1 species